GCGGCAAGAGCUCAACUUUGGAAUCGCUCCGGCGAGUUGUAGUCUGGAGGUGGCCACCACGAGGUGUUCUAGCAGCAGGCAAGUCCUUUGGAACAAGGCGCCAGCGAGGGUGACAGCCCCGUACCUGCUUUUGCUAGUGCUUCCUGUGGCCCACCGACGAGUCGAGUUGUUUGGGAAUGCAGCUCUAAGUGGGUGGUAAAUUCCAUCUAAGGCUAAAUAUUGGCGAGAGACCGAUAGCGAACAAGUACAGUGAUGGAAAGAUGAAAAGCACUUUGAAAAGAGAGUGAAACAGUACGUGAAAUUGUUGAAAGGGAAGGGCUUGCACCCAGACACGGUUUCGGCCGGGCCAGCAUCAAGUAGAACGGGGUUAAAAGACUUGGGGAAUGUAGCUACUUCGGUAGUGUUAUAGCCCUUGGUGAUGACCCCUGUUUUGCUUGAGGACAGCGGUCUCUAGGAUGCUGGCGCAAUGGUUGCAAGCCACCCGU
rnacentral:rRNA from 1 species